GGGGGCUUACAAUUGACGCGGGCUGGACCUCUCGGGGUUACAGCCUUGCUGAAUUAUUCACCCUUGUCUUUUGCGUACUUCUUGUUUCCUUGGUGGGUUCGCCCACCACUAGGACAAACAUAAACCUUUUGUAAUUGCAAUCAGCGUCAGUAACAAAUUAAUAAUUACAACUUUCAACAACGGAUCUCUUGGUUCUGGCAUCGAUGAAGAACGCAGCGAAAUGCGAUAAGUAGUGUGAAUUGCAGAAUUCAGUGAAUCAUCGAAUCUUUGAACGCACAUUGCGCCCUUUGGUAUUCCAAAGGGCAUGCCUGUUCGAGCGUCAUUUGUACCCUCAAGCUUUGCUUGGUGUUGGGCGUCUUGUCUCUAGCUUUGCUGGAGACUCGCCUUAAAGUAAUUGGCAGCCGGCCUACUGGUUUCGGAGCGCAGCACAAGUCGCACUCUCUAUCAGCAAAGGUCUAGCAUCCAUUAAGCCUUUUUUUCAACUUUUGACCUCGGAUCAGGUAGGGAUACCCGCUGAACUUAAGCAUAUCAAAAGCCCGGGAGGGAA
rnacentral:rRNA from 1 species